ensembl:Mt_tRNA
GGACUCGUGCCUGAAAUAAAGGAUUACUUUGAUAGAGUAAAUAAUGUGGGUUAAAACCCCUCCGACUCCU